rnacentral:rRNA from 1 species
CUGAGUGGCGGACGGGUGAGUAACGCGUGGGUAACCUGCCUCAUACAGGGGGAUAGCAGCUGGAAACGGCUGGUAAUACCGCAUAAGCGCACAGUACCACAUGGUACAGUGUGAAAACACUCCGGUGGUAUGAGAUGGACCCGCGUCUGAUUAGCUAGUUGGUGAGGUAACGGCCCACCAAGGCGACGAUCAGUAGCCGGCCUGAGAGGGUGAACGGCCACAUUGGGACUGAGACACGGCCCAAACUCC